rnacentral:rRNA from 1 species
AUUUAGUACAGGCUUAAAGCUGAUGAGCCCCCUGUUAAGGGGGGGCUCAUAAAGUAUAUAUAAAUAUAUAUUUUAUUUAGGAUAAUUCUAUAAUAAUUUACUUGUGUUUAUAAUUAUUAAUAUAUUAUUCUUGGUUUUUUUUUCUAGAAAAUUUUUAAUUUCUUAAAUUUUUCAUAAUGUUAAAAUAAGUAUUAUUAAUAAUUUAAAUAUAGGAACUCGGCAAAUCAUUACUCAACUGUUUAUCAAAAACAUAGUUUUAUGAAAUAAUAUAAAAUGAAUUCUGCCCAAUGAUAAUUUUAAUGGCCGCAGUACUUUAACUGUGCUAAGGUAGCAUAAUAAUUUGGCUUUUAAUUAAGGUCUGGUAUGAAAGGAUUUUAUGGGUAAUAACUGUCUUUAUUUAAUUUUUAAAAAUUUACUUAAAAGGUGAAAAUUCCUUUAAUUUUAAAAUAGACGAGAAGACCCUAGGAGUUUUUGUUUUGUUGGGGCGACAUUUUAGUAAAUAACCUAAGAAAAAAAUUUAACGGUUAUAUCAAUUAUAAAUAAACUACCCUAGGGAUAACAGCAUAAUAAUAUUUUUGUUUGUGACCUCGAUGUUGGACUAGG